rnacentral:rRNA from 1 species
AGCUUUACUGGGUAUGCCUUAUAUAUCGCAUAUGGGUAACCCUCUCAACAAUUAAGAGAUCCAUUCGAAGAACACGGAGACUAA